UACGGGGGGGGGCAAGCGUUGUUCGGAAUUACUGGGCGUAAAGGGCUCGUAGGCGGCCAACUAAGUCAGACGUGAAAUCCCCCGGCUUAACCGGGGAACUGCAUCUGAUACUGGAUGGCUUGAGUUCGGGAGAGGGAUGCGGAAUUCCAGGUGUAGCGGUGAAAUGCGUAGAUAUCUGGAGGAACACCGGUGGCGAAGGCGGCAUCCUGGACCGACACUGACGCUGAGGAGCGAAAGCCAGGGGAGCAAACGGG
rnacentral:rRNA from 1 species